rnacentral:rRNA from 1 species
CGGCGCCUACGGGGCGCAGCAGUGAGGAAUAUUGGUCAAUGGUCGGGAGACUGAACCAGCCAAGCCGCGUGAGGGAUGAAGGUACAGAGUAUCGUAAACCUCUUUUGUCAGGGAACAAAGGCGGGGACGUGUCCCCGGAUGAGUGUACCUGAAGAAAAAGCAUCGGCUAACUCCGUGCCAGCAGCCGCGGUAAUACGGAGGAUGCGAGCGUUAUCCGGAUUUAUUGGGUUUAAAGGGUGCGUAGGCGGAUUUUUAAGUCAGCGGUAAAAUGUCCGGGCUCAACCCGGGCCGGCCGUUGAAACUGG